GCCCCCGUAGCUCAGUGGAUAGAGCAGCGGCCUCCGGAGCCGUGUGCGGGAGUUCGAGUCUCCCCGGGGGUA
rnacentral:tRNA from 1 species